UUAAUUCUGCCUUGUGCGUUAUAUACGGCUCAUAUAAUCCAACACUUCUACUUAGGGAAUUUAGCUCUGACAGUGGAUUGCAGACCUCCUCUUUUGAGAUGAAGGGAGCGUGAAGCUUUCAGGCGGAUACCCACCUGCUGAAUAAGCGGGUUUUAUAUGCUGUAUAAUACGGCAAGGCGGUUUAUCU
rnacentral:other from 1 species